AAAUGGUUUCGCCAUCUCGGCGGAUGAAACGGGAACACGGUGCAACACCGCGGCUGCCCCCGCAACUGUAAGCGGAGAGCAAACCCCAUAAAGCCACUGGUGCCGUCAGGCAUUGGAAAGGCGGGGGGCGCGACGACCCGCAAGCCAGGAGACCGACCAUUUAUC
rnacentral:ncRNA from 1 species